rnacentral:rRNA from 1 species
AGUGAACGCUGGCGGCGUGCUUAACACAUGCAAGUCGAACGAGAACGGAUUAUAGCUUGCUAUAAUUGUCAGCUAAGUGGCGCACGGGUGAGUAAUGUAUAGGUAAUAUGCCUCUUACUAAGGGAUAACAAAUGGAAACGUUUGAUAAUAACUUAUACUCCUUAUUAACAUAAGUUAAUAAGGGACAGAUUUAUUGGUAAGAGAUUAGCCUGUAUUGUAUCAGUUAGUUGGUGGGGUAAUGGCUUACGAAGACUAUGACACAUGACUGGUUUGAGAGGAUGAUCAGUCACACUGGAACUGCGAGACGGACCAGACUCGUACGGGAGGCAGCAGUGGGGAAUAUUGCACAAGGGACGAAAGUCUGAUGCAGCAACGCCGCGUGGAGGAUGACACAUUUCGGUGCGUAAACUCCUGUUAUAUGAGAAGAUAAUGACGGUAUUAUAUGAAUAAGCACCGGCUAACUCCGUGCCAGCAGCCGCCGUAA